UAGUCCACGCCGUAAACGAUGAUUACUCGCUGUAGGCGAUACACAGUCUGUGGCUAAGCGAAAGUUUUAAGUAAUCCACCUGGGGAGUACGAUCGCAAGAUUGAAACUCAAAGGAAUUGACGGGGCCCGCACAAGCGGAGGAGCAUGUGGUUUAAUUCGAUGAUACGCGAGGAACCUUACCUAGGCUCGAAUGCGAGUGCAAUCUACUGAAAGGCGGAGUUUCUUCGGAACACAAAGCAAGGUGCUGCAUGGUUGUCGUCAGCUCGUGCCGUGAGGUGUUGGGUUAAGUCCCGCAACGAGCGCAACCCCUAUCUUUAGUUGCCAGCGAGUAAUGUCGGGGACUCUAAAGAAACUGCCUGCGCAAGCAGUGAGGAAGGAGGGGACGACGUCAAAUCAUCAUGGCCUUUAUGCCUAGGGCUACACACGUGCUACAAUGGUAGGUACAAAGGGUCGCUACUUGGUAACAAGAUGCUAAUCCCAAAAAGCCUACCUCAGUUCGGA
rnacentral:rRNA from 1 species